rnacentral:rRNA from 1 species
GUUGUUUAUUUAAAUUUUAGACUUAACUAACGUAAAAACUUUUAUAUAUUAGACCCGAAACUAGACGAUCUAAUCUAAAACAAAUUGAUGUUAUUCACACUAACUGAGGAUUGAACCCGUGAAUGUUGCAAAAUUCUGGGAUGAUUUUAGAUUAGCGGUGAAAUGCCAAUCAAGUUUAGUCAUAGCUGGUUCUCUACGAAAAUUAUUUAAGUAAUGCUGUUAGUAUUGAUUAUUUAAGGUACAUUUAUUUUUAGAUAUAGUACGAAUAUUUGGAGGUAUUCUAAAAAAAAAAUUAAUAUAAAUAAUAUUAAACUAAUAAGUUAGAUGUAUCGGCGCUAAGGUUAUACAUCGAAAGGGAAACAGCCCAGAUUAUAAAAUAAGGUUCUUAAUUAUAUAUAAGUCUAUAAAAAGUGUAAAUCUAGAAAAUUCUCUAAGAUAUUGGUAUGGAAGCUUUCACUAAAUAAUGAACGCAUAACCGCGCAAAAGAUUAAUAUAAAAUAAUGAAUAUAUUUUUGAUACUAGUUAUACGCUGAGAAUUUAUAGGAGUUAAUAUAUAUAAACCGAAUUUAUAAAAAUUGUUAUUCAAUUUGGUAGUAGAGUAUUCUAUAUAUUGUUGAUGUUUAAUUGUAAAAUUAGAUUGAAAAAUUAGUAGAAAUAAUGUUGGCAUGAGUAGUGUAAAGUGUUUUGUUUCAAUAUUUAAUGUUUGUAGCUAAUAACUAUUGAUUGUCAAUAGAUGUGUUAAUUUUUAUUGGUGUAUUGGUUUUACUGAUACUGAAUACAGAUGUUAAGUAGUUAAAUUCAACACCACUGAAAGUUAUAAGUUUUCGUUGCACUGUAAAUCAACAACGAGAAAGAAAAGAAUAUUUAAUAUUUGUACUCAAUCCCUAAAUUAUUGAAGAAAUUCGACUAAAUGACGGGUAUUAUUAUAUCGACAUAUUACAAUAUUUACAUUUUAUGAUUAUUUAGAAUUUAAUGUAAAGACGAUAAAUAUUUAAAAAAACUAUAAUUUUUAAUUUUGAGAAAUUAGUUUUGAUGAAUUAAAUUGUACAAAAUCCAACACCGGUUAACGGGUUGAAUAUACUAAAGUGAAAAGGUAAUAGAAUUUAAGGAACGCGGCAAAUUAACUUCGUAACUUCGGGAAAAGAAGGACUAAUUUAUUAGUGUAAUAAAAGAGGGGAUAGCGACUGUUUAACAAAAACACAGGACUCUGCUAAAUUUUUAUAUGAAGUAUUGAGUCUGACGCCUGCCCUGUGCUGAAAGAUGAAACAAAUUAGUAUUAUGCUAAUUAUUUUUUUUUUAAUAAAUCCCAGUAAACGGCGGCCUUAUUCUGAGGGUCCUAAGGUAGCAAAAUCCAUUGGCGAGUAAUUUUCGUCCUGUCGAAUGGCGUAACGACUUUCCCACUGUCUCAAAUUAUAUCUUUACGAAAUUGAAUUAUAGGUGAAAAUGCCUAUUAAACACAACGGGACGGAGAGACCCUAUGCAUCUUUACUAGAAUCAUAAAUUAACUUAAUCGUAUAAAAUAAACAUUGUUCUGUAUUUUUAUGCCGUCUGACAUAGAAAUACGUAAAACAUUUUUUAUUCCAAUACAUUAGGUUUAGGAUAUUUUAUACAUACCAUAUAUUUAUAGUUUAUGAGUGCUAGUUUAACUGGGGCGGUAGCCUCCAAAAUAGUAACGGAGGUGAACAAAAAAUCAAUUAAAAAUACAAUUCAUUUUGUAUUUAAUAAAUUAUAAUGAAUUACAUCCGAUUUGAUUUAAAAAUUUACAAAUUUUUAAAGAGUAUUAAGUAUACUUGUCAUAGUGAUCCGAUAUAUUUGAACGGUAGAGAUAUCGCUUAACGAAUAAAAGGUACGCUAGGGAUAACAGGCUAAUAAUUCUUAAGAGUACCCAUCGAGAGAAUUGUUUGGCACCUCGAUGUCGGCUCAUCACAUCCUGGUUGGGAAUCGUCUUCCAAGGGUUGAUCUGUUCUAUCAUUAAAGUGGUACGUGAGCUGGGUUCAAAACGUCGUGAGACAGUUUGGUCCCUAUCUGUUGUGUGUAUUGAAAAGAAAAAGAAUCUGACCUUAGUACGAGAGGACCGGGAAGGACCAAUCAAUGAUAACACAAUUAUCAAACUAAAUUGGUAUGUUGUUUUGUUAAAUUGGGAUUAAAUAAUUGCUGAAUACCAUAUGAAGCGAGAAGUUACCUUUUUUAUUUUCAUAUAAAGUUAUUAAACACAAUAAUACAAAUUUUUUCAAUGUUUAGUUUGAGAAAAUUGCAGUUGAAAAGUGUUUUUAUUUAAAUAUUUAAACAAAUAUU